CCUACGGGGGGCAGCAGUGAGGAAUAUUGGUCAAUGGACGAGAGUCUGAACCAGCCAAGUAGCGUGAAGGAUGACUGCCCUAUGGGUUGUAAACUUCUUUUAUAUGGGAAUAAAACGUUCCACGUGUGGGAUUUUGUAUGUACCAUAUGAAUAAGGAUCGGCUAACUCCGUGCCAGCAGCCGCGGUAAUACGGAGGAUCCGAGCGUUAUCCGGAUUUAUUGGGUCUAAAGGGAGCGUAGGUGGAUUGUUAAGGCAGUUGUGAAAGUUUGCGGCUCAACCGUAAAAUUGCAGUUGAAACUGGCAGUCUUGAGUACAGUAGAGGUGGGCGGAAUUCGUGGUGUAGCGGUGAAAUGCUUAGAUAUCACGAAGAACUCCGAUUGCGAAGGCAGUUCACUGGACUGCAACUGACACUGAGGCUCGAAAGUGUGGGUAUCAAACAGGAUUAGAUACCCUUGUAGUC
rnacentral:rRNA from 1 species